rnacentral:rRNA from 1 species
AUUGAACGCUGGCGGCAUGCUUUACACAUGCAAGUCGAACGGUAACAGGCCGCAAGGUGCUGACGAGUGGCGAACGGGUGAGUAAUGCAUCGGAACGUGCCCAGUCGUGGGGGAUAACGCAGCGAAAGCUGCGCUAAUACCGCAUACGAUCUAUGGAUGAAAGCGGGGGACCGUAAGGCAUCGCGCGAUUGGAGCGGCCGAUGUCAGAAUAGGUAGUUGGUGGGGUAAAGGCUCACCAAGCCAACGAUCUGUAGCUGGUCUGAGAGGACGACCAGCCACACUGGGACUGAGACACGGCCCAGACUCCUACGGGAGGCAGCAGUGGGGAAUUUUGGACAAUGGGCGCAAGCCUGAUCCAGCAAUGCCGCGUGCAGGAAGAAGGCCUUCGGGUUGUAAACUGCUUUUGUACGGAACGAAGCGGUCCUGGUUAAUACCUGGGGCUAAUGACGGUACCGUAAGAAUAAGCACCGGCUAACUACGUGCCAGCCGCCGCAGUAAAAC